GGGUACAGUCACUAAAUAGGGUACGGGGGUACGACACUCACCUAGGUUGCUGUUUUCAGUCGCAUCGGUGCAGCGGUGGACAACCUUGACAACAGCCUUUCCAGCACUCCCAGCAAUGUCCACUUGCGGCAUGGCGCUUCAAAUAUGUUAAACUACCAACAAGAACAAAGACACUCCUGAACGGAGCACAAAACAACGUGGUUCCUCGGCGGGAAAACUCCGGCUCUUCUGUUGAGGUUCCCAAGCCAUUUCCCCACAGUUUAGGAAACACUGGGUCAGCUGACGCGACGGUGAAGAAACACAGUUGUGUUGCUAUAUGACACGUCUACCAGACUACAAGAUGGUGACUGCCAGAUGGAAAUGGAGACAUAACUCCGUAGCAGCAGAACGCCACAGCGCUGAUUGACAAGAAUACACAAUAGUCUCGUCUCCUGGAAACACACCUGUUCGAGAUGUUCCCCUUUUUUGACGUACAGUUAGCACUAUUUUUAAUCAGCAUGCUUACUGAAUUUUGCUCCAGCGAUAAACGAACGCAUUGAAACAGC